UACGGGGGGGGCAAGCGUUGUUCGGAAUUACUGGGCGUCAAGGGUUCGUAGGUGGCUUGCUCAGUCAGACGUGAAAUCCCUCAGCUUAACUGGGGAACUGCGUCUGAGACUGGCAGGCUUGAGUGCAGGAGAGGAACGCGGAAUUCCAGGUGUAGCGGUGAAAUGCGUAGAUAUCUGGAGGAACACCGGUGGCGAAGGCGGCGUUCUGGACUGUAACUGACACUGAGUGAACGAAAGCCAGGGGAGCAAACGGG
rnacentral:rRNA from 1 species